rnacentral:rRNA from 1 species
UACGGGGGGGGCAAGCGUUUGUUCGGAAUUACUGGGCGUAAAGGGCUCGUAGGCGGCCAACUAAGUCAGACGUGAAAUCCCUCGGCUUAACCGGGGAACUGCGUCUGAUACUGGAUGGCUAGAGGUUGGGAGAGGGAUGCGGAAUUCCAGGUGUAGCGGUGAAAUGCGUAGAUAUCUGGAGGAACACCGGUGGCGAAGGCGGCAUCCUGGACCAAUUCUGACGCUGAGGAGCGAAAGCCAGGGGAGCAAAGCGGG